rnacentral:lncRNA from 1 species
AUCCAGGACCCUACAGACUCUAUGGGGCCAUGUGGGGCCAUCCAGGACCCUACAGACUCUACGGGGCUCUACAAACUCUAUGAGGCAUUACAGGUGCUAUGGGACUCUACAGAUCCUAUGGGGUCCUACAGAGCCCUAUGGGGCACUACAGAUCCUAUGGGGCACUACAGAGCUCUGUGGGGCACUACAGAUCCUAUGGGGCACUACAGAGCCCUAUGGGGCACUACAGAUUCCUAUGGGGCACUACAGAGCCCUAUGGCACCCUACAGAUUCCUAUGGGGCACUACAGAGCCCUACAGGACCCUACAGAUUCCUAUGGGGCCCUACAGAUCCUAUGGGGCACUACAGAGCUCUGCAGGUCACUACAGAUUCUAUGGGGCCUUACAGAGCCCUACGGCACCCUACAGAUUCCUAUGGGGCACUACAGAGCCCUAUGGGGCCCUACAGAUCCUAUGGGGCACUACAGAGCUCUGUGGGGCACUACAGAUUCUAUGGGGCACUACAGAGCCCUAUGGGGCACUACAGAUCCUAUGGGACCCUACAGAUUCCUAUGGGGCGCUACAAAGCCCUAUGGGGCCCUAAAUGACCCUACAGAUUCCUAUGGGGCCUUACAGAGCCCUAUGGCACCCUACCGAUUCCUAUGGGCACUACAGAUCCUAUGGGGCACUACAGAUCCUAUGGGGCGCUACAGAGCCCUAUGGGGCCGCUAUGGUGUCUCUGUAGGGUAGCUAUGGGGUCUCCGUGGGGCAGCUAUGGGGCUACUAUGGAGCCACUAGGGGGUCUCUAUGGGGUCUCUGUGGGGCAGCUAUGGAGCCACUAGGGGGUCACUGUGGGGUCUCUGUGGGGCCGCUAUGGGGUCUCUGUGGGGCAGCUAUGGGGCCGCUAUGGGGCAGCUAUGGGGCUCACCCGAGGCGUUGGGGUGCAGGCGCUCGUCGUUCAGUGGGGCCAGGAAGUCGCUGCUGUUGAGGUACAGGUCCCGGUGGUGGGGGUCUGUGGGGGGGGGGGACCCCAAAUCAGCCCCACGGCGACGCCCCGCACCCCCACCAUGGGGUUUGGGGGUCCCAGGGGAGGGUUUGGGGGUCCCCCCCCCGGAUAUUUUGGG